rnacentral:rRNA from 1 species
UACGGGGGGGGGCAAGCGUUGUUCGGAAUUACUGGGCGUAAAGGGCCAGUAGGCGGCCAACUAAGUCGGAUGUGAAAUCCCCAGGCUCAACUUGGGAACUGCAUCCGAUACUGGAUGGCUUGAAUUCGGGAGAGGGAUGCAGAAUUCCAGGUGUAGCGGUGAAAUGCGUAGAUAUGCGGAGGAACACCGGUGGCGAAGGCGGCAUCUGGACCAAUAUUGACGCUGAGGAGCGAAAGCGUGGGGAGCAAACAGG